GGCUGGGAAAGCUUUUCUUCUGACAGUGACCAGAAAGUCAUGGGGCCUCUGCCCUAGAAUUCCCCGGGGGGCUGGGAAGAGCCAGUCCCAGACAUUGGUGGGUGGUAAACGGGCUCCUGGAACCAAACAAAUCAGACCUGAUUUACAGCGUUUGCUGACGGCUGAGGUGUAAAUUCUUCCACCCCUGCCAAGUUCAAGGUCCCAGUGUGACGUCACCGAACGCAGAGCUGGGAAGAGACACAGACAGUUGGCUCUUGUGAGUUGGUGUGAGCAGGUGUGAGCCAGCUCCCGCACGCCCAGAGCCGUCUCCUCAACUUCAUCUUAUUUUCGCUAAAAUGCAAAUUGGGAAAGCAGUGAAACCUAGCAGUGCAUCCUCUGUGUUGAUGUCAUGUGAGCAGAUCCUUGGAGGUGACUUUCCGUCACCCUCCUGCUGCCCCACAAAAAGGGGCGGUGGGGGGGGAAUGUGUCCUUGGAAAGUCUCUGCAGCUGUGCGGCCGUGGGCAUGUCUCCUGACCUCUGUGGGGUCACGUGCUCCCUGCCUUGUUUCCUCUCUCCUUCCCUUUCUCUGCUCCUCAAAGGGCUACAGGGCGAGCAGACCCCAGGCGCCACGAGCCGGUGCUGCCUUGUGGUGGCGUCAUCUUCCCCGUGAUGAGCGGGACGAGAAGGACGGAGCCUGAGUGACAGAAGCUUGCUGGAUGGCUGAGUUAGCAGCGGUGUGGGAAGCCGGGACCAGGCGUCACCAGGAGCCAAUCACAGUGAGCUCAGCAAAAGCGGCAAAGGAAAGCUUCCGUCCUUGGAAGCGCCAAGACCACGGUCUUCUCGACCUCCCGUGGGGGUCCCUCCCCAUAGUGACAGAGCAGCACAGAGAUGGGGCUCAAUGUCUGCUGGGCCACAUCCUGGCCUCGGCCCGGAGCCCCUCUAGAUGGUACCCCCCUGAGGCCAGGAGCACAUUUGAGUCCCCUGGAUUAUCCAAAAGGGCCCUGCACAUAGUAGGUCCUCAACAUCUAGGAACUGGGCCAAAAGGAGAUGGGGGAAAAUUCCCCAAAAGGUAACUCACUGGUAUUUCACCUGCUUUUCUCCUUCACUUGAGGAUUUUAAGACUUUUUAGAAAACGGUUACGGCCAGGAACACCCAACCAUGGGUCCAAGAGUGAAACAAUGAAAAGACAGGAGAGACAGAGUGUAGCCCCAAAACCUUAUAAAUAAAAGGGGCUGCGGGCCUUUCAUGAAAUAAGGAUGGUCUGCAGAGCCCUGGGCGCAAGGCUUACAAAUUGUCACUGGUCCACACGUCUGGAUCUCCUCGGCCACCGCCCUCUCUCCUCUGGAUUCCGGGAGCAGCCCUACGCUGCCUCCCCACCCUGGCUGCCGUAGCCAAUGCUGGUGGGAGCAUCACUUGUAGAGCGAUUUUGGAAAGUGUUGAGGCAUAGUCUACUAGAGCCCCAUCUGAGCACACCUUUGACUCAGCAAUUCCACUCCCAACAGAGAUGCUUUCACGUGUUCACCAAAAGCCCUGCAUGGAACGCCCAGAGGAAGCAGCCCUGCUCUCCAUAGCCCUCAAUUCAGCCCGCCGCCUGCAGCAGGACCGUCAGGAACACGUGGAAUGAAAUGAAUGAGCUGCACGGCACAUGGGCUACAAGGACAUGGCUCACAGCACAUGCUGAGCCAAAGAAGCCAGGUGCUGGAGUGUUUGCUGCCCGCUUCCACUGUCCUGUAGGGACACCAGAGAGACACAGAAGAAAGGCCAUGUGAGGACACAGUAAGAAGGUGACUGUCUGCAAGCCAGGGAGGGAGCUCUCACCAGAACCCCGCCUUGCUGGACUUUGAUC